UACGUAGGGGGCCAGCGUUGCUCGGAAUUACUGGGCGUAAAGGGUCCGUAGGCGGUGUAGCAAGUCGAUAGUGAAAUCUCUGGGCUUAACCCAGAGGCUGCUAACGAAACUGCUGUGCUAGAGUGUGAGAGAGGCGAGUGGAAUUACGGGUGUAGCGGUGAAAUGCGUAGAUAUCCGUAGGACAUCCGAGGCGAAGGCGGCUCGCUGGAUCACAACUGACGCUGAGGGACGAAAGCUAGGGGAGCAAACAGG
rnacentral:rRNA from 1 species